GCUGUGCCCUCAGGCAGCAGAGAACCCCAGCUUAGCAGCUUCUCUGCUCCGCAUUGAAGGCUGCCACUGGCUUAAUUCAGGGUCCUCCACCAGGAUGACUGGAGCCUGAUAAGAGUCUCACCUCACAUCUGGAAAGCGCCGUGCAGCUUCCUGCAACCUCAGAGCCUUCCUCUGGCAUUGGCAGAGCAGCUGCGGUUCCCAAUCUCAGGCCAGAGGUGAGAGCCAGGGGUGGGGAGCCCCCCUGGCCCGUGGGGAGCCCCCCUGUCCCACGGGGAGCGGUCGUCACUGUCUGGGUACUUGCCUUCCAGCGGACAGUAAAGGGUCACAGACCUGCUCCUGUGACUCACGGCUCUGGGAAGAAGGCAGAAACAGGUUCCUGCAGAUGUUGCAGAGAUGGCAAACGAAUCCACAGCGGACAGAAAGCAGACCUGCUAUGGCCUGGAGUGUGGAGUGAGGGAGACAAGUCAAAGGGACACGAGGAAACUUCUGGAGGCAGCAGAAUGCUAAGGAUCUUGAUUGUGGAGAUGGGUUGACGGCUGCACAUGCACAUCAGAGCUCGUCCAACUGUACACUUCAUGUGGAGUUUAAUGGAUGUCACUUACACUUUAAUAAAGCAGUUUGUUAUUUAUUAAAAAAAAACAAAAACAGAUGUUUCUCAUGACCCAUGUGAGACCCUGGACAAGCCCUUUCCCUUCUUUUAGCCUCAGCUUCCCCAUCUAUGAGAUGGGCGUCUCUAAGAGUCCUUCCAGCUGGACCACCUGACCUCCUGCCCACCAUGCCCCCCUCCUCCCGCUGUGAACGCACCUCCCUUGAAGGUAGCACCAGUCUCCAGGGGAAGGGCUGUGGCUGUGUGGCCCAGGUUUGUCCCUGCACCCUGAGCCGAUCCUGGCUCAGCUCACCAGCCCUCCCUGCAAGAGUCGCUCAGACCAAGUAGAGAAAUUGGUUGGGAGAGGUGGAUGCCAGGGAACAGGGCCAAGUCAUGUAGGAAAAUAAGGAAGUGAGUAACUCCGUGACUC